AGAGUUUGAUCCUGGCUCAGAACGAACGCUGGCGGCAGGCUUAACACAUGCAAGUCGAGCGCUGUAGCAAUACAGAGCGGCAGACGGGUGAGUAACGCGUGGGAACAUACCCUUUGGUUCGGAAUAGCUCAGGGAAACUUGAAUUAAUACCGGAUACGCCCCUUGCGGGGGGAAAGAUUCAUCGCCGAAGGAUUGGCCCG
rnacentral:rRNA from 1 species